GGUUAUAUAGUAUAGUAGUAGUAUAUAUACAUUUUAAAUGUGCUCGCUACCCCUACUCUGGGUAGCAAGUAUAGGCUAUAUAAGGUUAUAGGUUCGAUCUCUAUUAUAAUUG